rnacentral:piRNA from 1 species
UGCACACUUUCCAGAUGAGCUCUAU